rnacentral:rRNA from 1 species
GUGUCAGCAGCCGCGGUAACACGUAGGGGGCAAGCGUUGUCCGGAUUUAUUGGGCGUAAAGAGCUCGUAGGUGGUUCGGUAAGUCGGGUGUGAAAACUCUGGGCUCAACUCAGAGACGCCACCCGAUACUGCUGUGACUUGAGUCUGGUAGGGGAGUGUGGAAUUCCCAGUGUAGCGGUGAAAUGCGCAGAUAUUGGGAGGAACACCAGUGGCGAAGGCGGCACUCUGGGCCAGUACUGACACUGAGGAGCGAAAGCGUGGGUAGCGAACAGGAUUAGAUACCCUGGUAGUCC